UACGUGAGGGGCGAACGUUGUUCGGUGUCACUGGGCUUAAAGGGUGCGUAGGUGGUUCUGUAAGUAAGGUGUGAAAUCCCUCGGCUUACCCGGGGAAUUGCAUUUUGAUACUGCAGGACUUGAGGACUAAAGGGGAAAAGGGAACUCCAGGUGUAGCGGUGAAAAUGCGCAGAUAUCUGGGGGAAGGCCGGCGGCGAAGGCGCUUUUCUGGUUAGU
rnacentral:rRNA from 1 species